AGAGUGAACGCUGGCGGUAGGCCUAACACAUGCAAGUCGAACGGCAGCACAGUGGUAGCAAUACCAUGGGUGGCGAGUGGCGGACGGGUGAGGAAUACAUCGGAAUCUACCUUUUCGUGGGGGAUAACGUAGGGAAACUUACGCUAAUACCGCAUACGCCCUUCGGGGGAAAGCCGGGGAUCGCAAGACCUGGCGCGGAUAGAUGAGCCGAUGUCGGAUUAGCUAGUUGGUGAGGUAAUGGCUCACCAAGGCGACGAUCCGUAGCUGGUCUGAGAGGAUGAUCAGCCACACUGGAACUGAGACACGGUCCAGACUCCUACGGGAGCAGCAGUGGGAAUAUUGGACAAUGGGCGCAAGCCUGAUCCAGCCAUACCGCGUGGGUGAAGAAGGCCUUCGGUUGUAAAGCCCUUUGUUACGGAAAGAAAGACAAGUACGGUUAAGUACCCGUUAGUUCUAGGACGUAUACCAAACGAAGUAAGACCUACCGG
rnacentral:rRNA from 1 species